rnacentral:rRNA from 1 species
GUGGGGAAUCUUGCGCAAUGGACGAAAGUCUGACGCAGCGACGCCGCGUGAGUGAUGAAGGCCUUCGGGUUGUAAAGCUCUGUGGGGAGGGACGAAUAAGUGCUGGCUAAUAUCCAGCGCGAUGACGGUACCUCCUUAGCAAGCACCGGCUAACUCUGUGCCAGCAGCCGCGGUAAGACAGAGGGUGCAAACGUUGUUCGGAAUUACUGGGCGUAAAGCGUGUGUAGGCUGCCGCGUAAGUCGGGUGUGAAAGCCCCGGGCUCAACCCGGGAAGUGCACUCGAUACUGCGUGGCUAGAGUACUGGAGAGGUUGGUGGAAUUCUCGGUGUAGAGGUGAAAUUCGUAGAUAUCGAGAGGAACACCGGUGGCGAAGGCGGCCAACUGGACAGAUACUGACGCUGAGACACGAAAGCGUGGGGAGCAAACAGGAUUAGAAACCCGAGUAGUCC